GGCGGGACCCGCGGGGACGGGCGUUCCAAGCCUCUGUGUGCCAGGCGGGUGACGCGCCCGGGCGGACUAGCCAAGACUCGGGCCCCCACGCGGAGAAACCGGCUGGCGGCUGUCUGGAUCCCGGUGCGACCGCAGGCAACAGGCAUGCAGGAGGAACCCGAGUCCGGGAGUUGCGGAGUGUGGAGCUCUGGGGUGGAGACUCGGUCCGCCCGCAGGGCUUCCGAUGGGAAGCAGGGAGUGGGCUUUGUAGUCAGCACCAUCGUGAUUACUGCUAUCAAUAUCCUCUUGCUGUCCUUGACCCAUCGAUUAAUCAUUCUCAAGCUGAGCAGUUAUUGGAAAGUAGGUCCCUCAUCCCACUGGUCAGAUCCCAGCAUGGGUCCACCCUGAAUGAAUGCUUCGUCCUCCAACAGCAGCUGAGCAAGCCAGAGAAAAUGACACCAACCAGCUCUGGGCACUGCUCAUCAGUGUUCAUCAGUGUCUUCUCCCACCUCCCACAUCUACUGGUCCAAGUUUUAACCCAAAUAAAUGGUCCUGCCACUUAGCACAGGACACAUUUACUGAGAA